rnacentral:rRNA from 1 species
UACGAAGGGGGCUAGCGUUGUUCGGAAUCACUGGGCGUAAAAGCGCACGUAGGCGGAUCUUUAAGUCAGGGGUGAAAUCCCGAGGCUCAACCUCGGAACUGCCUUUGAUACUGGGGAUCUCGAGUCCGGGAGAGGUGAGUGGAACUGGCGAAGUGUAGAGGUGAAAUUCGUAGAGUAUUCGCAAGAACACCAGUGGCGAAGGCGGACUCACUGGCCCGGAACUGGACG